rnacentral:rRNA from 1 species
ACCUACGGGAGGCAGCAGUGGGGAAUAUUGCACAAUGGGGGGAACCCUGAUGCAGCGACGCCGCGUGAAGGAAGAAGUAUUUCGGUAUGUAAACUUCUAUCAGCAGGGAAGAAAAAGGACGGUACCUGACUAAGAAGCCCCGGCUAACUACGUGCCAGCAGCCGCGGUAAUACGUAGGGGGCGAGCGUUAUCCGGAUUUACUGGGUGUAAAGGGUGCGUAGACGGGAGAUUAAGUUAGUUGUGAAAUCCCUCGGCUCAACUGAGGAACUGCAACUAAAACUGGUUUUCUUGAGUGUUGGAGAGGA